rnacentral:rRNA from 1 species
GAUGAACGCUGGCGGCGUGCCUAAUACAUGCAAGUCGAGCGAGAAGCUUGGGAAUGACGCUUCGGUUGAUUUUCCAAGCGGACAGCGGCGGACGGGUGAGUAACGCGUAGGCAACCUGCCCCUGACAGAGGGAUAGCCAUUGGAAACGAUGAUUAAAACCUCAUGACACCGUAGUAGCACAUGCUACAUCGGUCAAAGAUUUAUCGGUCAGGGAUGGGCCUGCGUCUGAUUAACUGGUUGGUGAGGUAACGGCUCACCAAGGUGACGAUCAGUAGCCGACCUGAGAGGGUGAUCGGCCACAUUGGAACUGAGACACGGUCCAAACUCUACGGAGGCAGCAGUAGGGAAUCUUGCACAAUGGGCGAAAGCCUGAUGCAGCAACGCCGCGUGAAGGAUGAAGGCCUUACGGGUUGUAAACUUCUGUUCUAAGGGAAGAAAGAAAUGACGGUACCUUAGGAGCA